CGUUAAUGUGUUUUGUAUUCCUAAUGGAUUCCUGAAGCUGUCUAACUACGGUGAGAAAAUGUUGAGUCAGAAAAAAAGAAAAAAAGCCUUUAGUCAAAGUCUGCCGCCUAAUUUUGUUUGUAUACAUAUGUGCGGCUUUCUUAACACAUCAAGAAAGCUUUGGUGUUGUUUUGUUUAUAUUUAUUGCCGCUAUUUUGACCGUCCUCAAAACAUUGAUUACUAGUUUUUUUAUCAGCACUUUUCAUUGCUAUAAAAUGGACAAAACUUUAAGAGUUAUUAGUAUUCAUGUAACAGCGUAAUAAAGAGCAGAUUUACGGUAUGAAUAAAUAUUUCUAAACAAAGUUACCAUCUUUAUUGUUCGUUGGCAUUAGGGAUGUAACAAUAAAGUAUGGAAAAAUAUGAAGGACUUUAACCGCAUGUGGCGCUCUCGUUUUCGCACGCCACUCUCACGCUCACACUCGGAAACAACCCCCACCUCUGGAAUCAGACCCCGCCUACUUCUCUGCACGCGAAAUUCAUUUGUGCAAAAGACGGGUUAGUGUGAGGAGCUCCUCAAAACUCCGGAGCUUUAAGGAAGAACGUACAGAAAGCAAAAAGAACUUACAGCGGGAGCAUGUAAGACCCUCGCCGUCUUUUUCGAUGAUGUUGUCCGUGAGCAAGCCUUCGACGGCGGCCUUGUCUGGACUCUCUGGCGUAAGAAAAGCCUCCUUUCCACCCGGAGCAAAAAGGGAACAUUUGUAAGUAAAUAUAUAUAUAUAUAUAUAUUGUAUAUUGUAUGUUUUUUUUUUUUCUUCUAAAAUGAAAAUCAUUUGACUCGUCAGAUAUAUUAAAGUUCUAUAAUUUGGUAAAAUUGCAAAUAGCUAAAAUAAUGUACAAAGCAGACUAUAACCUGCCACCCUAGAACGUACAACAAUUAUUCUCAACAACAACAAAAAAAAAAGGAAAAAUAUAACCUUAAAAAAAAAGAAAGAAAAAAAAGUGUGUGUGUGCGUGUGUGUGUGUGUGUGAGCACAUGCUGUUUAUUACACGUGUGAUUUUUGAACAUUUUGAGGACUUUUGACCACUUUUCCAACUUUUCUCCACCACUCCUCCCACGACUUUGUCGGGGUUCACAAGGCCGGCUGCGGGACUCGUGGGACUGGAACCCUGAGAGCUGAAACAAGCAAAUAUCUCCUGUCUGAUAUUUGAAAACCUAUCCAAAAGAUCCAACCAUUCCGUAAGCAUCCAAGCACCAUUUCUCACGCAAAGACUCGGUUGGAGGAAUUUGAGUGCGUUUCAAAAAAACUCUACUUUUGCGAGGAGCGGCCAGGCUUCUCUGAUGCACAAUGAUGCAACACAACAAACUUUUCCAAAGAAUAUGGCACCUCCGGUGCCGACUUCUCGACUCCCGAGUGAUGCAAUGCUUUGGUCAGCGACUGCAUUUGGCGA